CCUACGGGAGGCAGCAGUGGGGAAUAUUGCACAAUGGGGAAACCCUGAUUCAGCGACGCCGCGGGAGUGAAGAAGUAUCUCGGUACGUAAAGCUCUAUCAGCAGGGAAGAAAAUGACGGUACCUUACUAAGAAGCCCCGGCUAAGCACGUGCCAGCAGCCGCGGUAAUACGUAGGGGGCAAACGUUAUCCGGAUUUACUGGGUGUAAAGGGGGCUUAGACGGAAGCACAAGUCUGGAGUGAAAUCCCGGGGCUUAACCCCGGAACUGCUUUGGAAACUGUGCGGCUGGAGUGCAGGAGGGGUAAGCGGAAUUCCUAGUGUAGCGGUGAAAUGCGUAGAUAUUAGGAGGAACACCGGUGGCGAAGGCGGCUUACUGGACUGUAACUGACGUUGAGGCUCGAAAGCGUGGGGAGCAAACAGGAUUAGAUACCCCUGUAGUC
rnacentral:rRNA from 1 species